CUCUUCCCAUUCCGAACAGAGAAGUUAAGCCUUGUCACGCCGAUGGUACUGCGUCACAGUGGGAGAGUAGGUAGCCGCCGUUUU
rnacentral:rRNA from 1 species